AUGGAGGCUUUGGCAAAGUUUACAAGGAACUUGGUUCAACUCCUCGGGUGUUGUGCGGACAGAGAUGAAAAAUUGUUGAUUUAUGAGUAUAUGCCUAACAAGAGCUUGGAUGCUACCCUUUUUGAUGACUCGAGAAAAUUGUUGCUAGAUUGGUCAACACGAUUUAAUAUAGUCAAAGGGAUCACAAGGGGACUUCUUUAUCUCCACCAAGAUUCAAGAUUGACAAUAAUUCACAGAGACCUGAAAGCUGGAAAUGUAUUGCUAGAUGCAGAGAUGAAACCCAAGAUAGCAGAUUUUGGUAUGGCAAGGAUCUUUGGAGAGAACCAACAAAAUGCAAAUACUCAACGUGUUGUCGGGACCUAUGGCUACAUGGCUCCUGAGUAUGCAAUGGAAGGCCUCUUCUCUACCAAGUCUGAUGUAUACAGCUUCGGUGUGUUACUAUUAGAGGUUGUAACUGGUAUUAGAAGAAACUCCAAUAGUCAAACCAUGGGUUUCCCUAGCCUCAUAGUCUAUUCAUGGAAUAUGUGGCAAGAAGGGCGGGCAGACGAGCUGCCAGACUCAUCUAUCAUGGAUACUUGUUCACUAGAUGAAGUUGUGCUUUGCAUCCAUCUAGCACUCUUGUGUGUUGAGGAGAACCCAGAUGACAGGCCACUUAUGUCAUAUGUUGUGUUCGUCCUAGAGAAUGGAAGCACCACACUUCCAGCCCCCAAUCGCCCAGCUUACUUCGCGCGACGACGCAUUGAAAUGGAGCAAAUCAGAGAAGAUAUUCAGACUUCCAGAAACAGUUUUACUCUUACCGAAAUAGAGGGACGUUGA
rnacentral:rRNA from 1 species